rnacentral:precursor_RNA from 14 species
CCAGCGAUAUGGCAGCGGCGGUGAGCCCGGCGCUGGCAGUGUUGGUGGCACUCACUUGGUGGCAGUGGCACCAGCACUGGCAGUGGCGGUGGCACCAGCACCAGCAGCGCCUGCACC